UGGGGGAAGAGACGUUGUUGUGAAGUUGCUGAUUGCAGAUGGCUCUGUGUGUUGCAGCUCUAACAGAGAGCCUCUGUUUUAAGGCUGUUGUGUCGCUCCGCUUUGUAGCCUGAGUUCCAGUCUGGUUUUGUGCUGUCAUCAACUCCUUGUCACGAACUCAAUGUCACGUUUGUCUCGUCCACAACAGCGAUGUAGUUGGCAUGGUAGCACAAACAGAUCUGGGACCAGGCUAUCUAUUUUGUGAGUAGAAGUUGUUAUCUCCCCCCCCCCCCCUUGGUUGCUAAGGAGAAUGGUUCUACAUCCUCUUUGGUGUUCAACAUUCCUCUUCCUGCAUCUUGGAGGCUGAAGGAUAUACAAACUGUGUACUGUUUUUUUUUUCCUUUUCAAUAUUCUUCCCAAUAUUAAGGUUUAUUGUGGAUAAAAAUAAUAAUAAUAAUGUCAACAGACUCCGGAUCUCUACCAGACCAGUGAAGUGGUGUGUUUUACUGCUCGUUGUUAAACAGUUGAUUGUUUAUAACUUUUCAGUAUUAUCUUGUUAUUCCAUCAGACAGCUGUCAAUCAGACAACAGUAAUAAUGACUUGGAGUUGGAUGGUGACCAAGCACUUUGCUGGGAGUUCUGAAGCACCAGGGACUGUGUACAUAAAGCAGGUCUCAGAAUAGGGCUGCCGGUCUAGGAUCAGGUGCCCUCUCUUAUUCAUUAUAAUCUAAAAGGCCAAACGGAUCCUAAAUCAGCACUCUUACUCUGACAUUCUUUAUGAAUAUGGUUCCAGAAAUCCCAUUGGUGGGGGGUCAAAAUACUUUAAACCCAACAUCCUACUGUAUUGAAGACAGACUAUGCAUUUUGUUACCAUGACGAUAUAUAUCUCAUGUACAUUUGUAAACAGAGGAAUGUAGAAGGAGUAGAACGGGCCUCCCUAUUCAUGUCAACGACGUCAUAAUGGGCAGACAGGCAGCCGUUCUAGUUCUAUGUUUAGUAGUGGAAUCCUGAGGCGUGUUGGGAGGGAUCAGAGAGGUGGAAACAGAAAUAGAAUGACUAGAACAGUCUCGGAACCUUUAACCCUGGUAAUUUGACUCAUGGGUACUCUCACAUUGGCCGCCAGUCCACCCAUCAUGCCAUCAUAAUGGACCUGUUCCAUGGAUUGUUUUUGUAUGAGCGGAACACGUUCAUGUUCUCGUGUUCUUAAUAAGUGUUCUGAUGACCUCUCUCUCUCUCUCUCUCUGUGAGGUAAUUAUUGACCCAUAAUGGGUUUCUGAUUGGAGAUUGUUUAUGAGAAGCGUUCCUCCUGGACUGGGCCUCUAUAGAUAAAGAUCUGUUCUGUUUUGACCACUGAACAUCAUCUGCUUCAGUCAUGUGUUUUUAUGUUAUUCUUUUGAUCAGGAUGGUUUCUGAUUGGGAUUUUACUGUGUUGUUGUCGUUGUUGUCUUUGUCGUUGUUGUCUUUGUCGUUGUUGUCUUUGUUGUUGUUGUCUUUGUCUUUGUCAUUGUUGUUGUUGGAUGUAUUCUCCAGUAUCUGGACUAUAGAAAGACAGCAGUAUCUCAAGGGAUUUGAACGCUGAAUAUAUUGCCUUUUGUCUCACCACAGUGGUUGCUAUUCUCUGCUUUUUUAAUAAAGCCUAAUAAUGCCUUA